AGUGCAUCGGGUAAGACCGAUGCUUUUCUUGACUCUUCAAAGGUCUUGGAAUAAGGGGUGGGUAAGGACGGUGCCAGCCGCCGCGGUAAUACCGGCGCCUCAAGUGGUAGUCGCUUUUAUUGGGCCUAAAACGUCCGUAGCCGGUUUGGUACAUUCGUGGGUAAAUCAAGGCGCUCAACGUCUUGAAUUCUGCGAGCACGGCCAGACUUGGGACCGGGUGAGGUGUGGGGUACUCUCAGGGUAGGGGUAAAAUCCUGUCAUCCUGAGAGGACCACCUGUUGCGAAGGCGCCACACUAGAACGGAUCCGACGGUCAGGGACGAAGCCUAGGGGCACGAACCGGAUUAAAUACCCGGGUAGUCCUAGGUGUAAACGCUGUGGACUUGAUGUUGGGAGUGCUCCGAGCACCCUCAGUGUCGAAGCGAAGGUGAUAAGUCCACUGCCUGGGGAGUACGGUCGCAAGGCUGAAACUUAAAGGAAU
rnacentral:rRNA from 1 species